rnacentral:rRNA from 1 species
UACGUAGGUGGCAAGCGUUGUCCGGAUUUAUUGGGUUUAAAGGGUGCGUAGGCGGUCUAUUAAGUCAGUGCUGAAAUAUCCCGGCUUAACCGGGAGGGUGGCAUUGAUACUGAUGGACUUGAGUGCAGUCGAGGUAGGCGGAAUUGACGGUGUAGCGGUGAAAUGCUUAGAUAUCGUCAAGAACACCGAUAGUGAAGACAGCUUACUAGACUGUAACUGACGCUGAGGCACGAAGGUCAGGGGAGCAAACGGG